rnacentral:lncRNA from 1 species
CUGGUGUUGUUCUAAACCAGAAGAAAAACAAAUAUAAUCACUCCUUUUUUAUCUAUGGAAGACUUCAAGAACCUGUGGAUGGCCUAGGAGUGACUGUCAUUCAAAGGUGCUGUGUAAAGGACCUGAUGAAAAAGGCAUCAAUCAUUACAGAUCCUGAAUUUUUACCUGUUUGAUACAGCAUUUGAUGUGGCUGGGAAGAAGACUGAAAGACAGUAAAGUUUCACAGAUUUGUCAAACUUAAAAUAAAAGCCUCUACAACUGGGUAAGUGUCA